rnacentral:rRNA from 1 species
GACGAACGCUGGCGGCGUGCCUAAUACAUGCAAGUCGAACGCAUUUUCUUUCACCGUAGCUUGCUACACCGAAAGAAAAUGAGUGGCGAACGGGUGAGUAACACGUGGGUAACCUGCCCAUCAGCGGGGGAUAACACUUGGAAACAGGUGCUAAUACCGCAUAAUUCCAUUUACCGCAUGGUAGAUGGAUGAAAGGCGCUUUUGCGUCACUGAUGGAUGGACCCGCGGUGCAUUAGCUAGUUGGUGGGGUAACGGCCUACCAAGGCUGCGAUGCAUAGCCGACCUGAGAGGGUGAUCGGCCAAACUGGGACUGAGACACGGCCCAGACGCCUACGGGAGGCAGCAGUAGGGAAUCUUCGGCAAUGGACGCAAGUCUGACCGAGCAACGCCGCGUGAGUGAAGAAGGUUUUCGGAUCGUAAAACUCUGUUGUUAGAGAAGAACAAGGAUGAGAGUGGAAAGUUCAUCCCUUGACGGUAUCUAACCAGAAAGCCACGGCUAACUACGUG